GCUUCUCGUGGUAGCGUUGGUGGUGGUGGCUUUCGCCGCCGCCGUGCCUCAGGGGGAGGAAGACGCACCCAUUUAAGGAGUGGCCAUAACUGCCAAAAGAUCUCGGCUGGUAGACCCACUGCUACGCACACUGGACACCGAAAGCAAAAGACAAAAUUAAAUAAAGUACCACAGCAUGAAACUCUUAGAUAGAAAAUAUAUUUGAAAACUUUGUUAAUAUUUCACAACUAGGUAUCACCUAAUUAUUGUAAACCCUUGAAAAAGAGAGAGGCUGACAAUAGUGACUGAGUUUCUUGCGCUGCUUCUUCUCAGCACUGGCCCAUUUAUUGUCCCGAAGCAGUGGUAGAGUUAAAAUACUGGGACAUGUAACACUUUAAAAACCUAUUUGCUGAAAGUAAACGUCUUUUUAACUAUUAUGAUUUCAUGAAUAAAUAACUGCUUAAUGUGCUUUCCGUA